GACGAACGCUGGCGGCGUGCUUAACACAUGCAAGUCGAACGGAAAGGCCCUGCUUGCAGGGUACUCGAGUGGCGAACGGGUGAGUAACACGUGGGUGAUCUGCCCUGCACUUCGGGAUAAGCCUGGGAAACUGGGUCUAAUACCGGAUAGGAGCCAUUUUUAGUGUGAUGGUUGGAAAGUUUUUUCGGUGUAGGAUGAGCUCGCGGCCUAUCAGCUUGUUGGUGGGGUAAUGGCCUACCAAGGCGGCGACGGGUAGCCGGCCUGAGAGGGUGGACGGCCACAUUGGGACUGAGAUGCGGCCCAGACGCCUACGGGAGGCAGAAGUGGGGAAGAUUGAACAAGGGGCGCAAGCCGGAUGCAGCGACGCCGCGUGGGGGAUGACGGCCUUCGGGUUGUAAACUCCUUUCGCUAGGGACGAAGCUUUUUGUGACGGUACCUAGAGAAGAAGCACCGGCUAACUACGUG
rnacentral:rRNA from 1 species